UAAUUGACUAUUUCAUCAUUAUCAUUAUCAUCAGUCUCCUCAUUGAAUGUCUCUUUUCUAUGCUGGCAUGGGUUGGAUGUUUGACUAUAUCCACUAAGCCAUGGGCUCUCAUGUCAUCUUUGACUGGAUGCUCUUCCUAACAUCUACUGCAUUCCAGUGUGUACUAGGUGCUUUCUUUUCUUUCAUGCUGCAGUACUAGUGAGCAAAGCCAGAUUAAGACCAAUAGAGGCCCUAAGGACUUAAGAUAGUUUGGUGGCCCCAUAUAUAUGCAAUUCAAAAUAUAAACAAUAAUAAUUCAUAAAAUAAAUUUUAAUUCUUCAAAACAAAACAAAACUAAUGCUAAAAUGGAAACUAA